UUUAUGUAAUUUCUUUUUAUUUUUGCAGAGUGAUUACAUUUUCUGCCAGGCCAGGGAUGGUGAACUGGAAAGGUAAUCUCUCUCGCUUAAAAGAAAAAAUAAAUCUGAGUUCUAUGUUGCCUUUUGUAAAAGCCACAGGGCAACCUGCUUUUCGGAUUCAUGACACGUAUGGAAUUUCAACUUUUAAGCAGUCAUAAAAUGCAGGGUGUCUUUAGCACUCCAGGACAUUCAUCAGGGCAGCCAAUCACGCAGAGGAAGUAAUUCCAAAGUACAUAUUUCUGAAGAAGAGACCCAGACUUUCCAGAUUAAAGCUUGGAAAUACAGGUUUCUUUCAUUUUUAUUUGCAAAGCUUUCCAGUUUAAACCCCCUUUUUCUUACAUAUGGAAAUAAAUCCUAUGGUUUUAUAUAUGCUUAAAUUAUGUUGCUAAAGAAUGCUGUUUUUGUAAAACCAACUGUGAUUACCCUCUGUAUAAAACCAUGAGAAAACAGAAUACUACUAAUGGGUGUAAAGUAAUGGCAGUUACUUCUCUUUAUUGUCUCCUUCAGGUAUAUUGCCUGGUUAGGGUAACAGACCAAUACACAGGUACAAGAUGGUGCAGAAAACAGCUGGAAAGUUCAGGGAUCCACAUGUAAUGCCAAGUCUCUAAACAGACAAGUGAGAAAAUUGUUCCUCUGCUGCACAAUCACCCCACCAAAGGCAACAUUUUGCAACCUACGAAUGCAGAUGCGACAGUUCUCUUUAUUUCUCUUAGCUCUUGGAAACAGACUUUGUCUGGGCAUUGAUUUAUUACAGGGCUCUUAAUGAUUGUGAGAUAGAUGCUCUUGAUUUUAAUACAUCCUUUAAUAAAACUUUUGGAAACAGGCACUUGCGUUUCAAGCACAGAAACAGACCUCAGUCAACUUCUGCUGAUCUUCAUGGUAUUCUUUUUAUAUUUUUAUUCAUAACAUUUUUGUACACAGAAUCGGCUGGUUUGUGAAUUCUUCAAUCAUUCACUUCCACAGAAAAAUGCUGCAAAAGAUAGGACUGGCAGUGGCAUUGUACGUAUGAUUUGCAAAGUGAAAAUUUGUCUGUAAAAAUGCAAUGGAUGCUUUUAUUAGAAUAAAGGGGGGGAAUUAUUACUUAUUUUGUAAAAUAUUCUUAGCUACAGGUCUAUCAGAGAGAGUUGUCCUAUUUUAAAGAAAAAUGUUAAGUCAUCAGAAAGCAAAUAACACUGACGACAGCAGUGCCACUAUAAGGGUUAAACAAGUCUACAGGCUUAACUCUACAAUCCUUUCUCAUACUGAGGGGCAGUGGCAUGUGUUGUCUUGUCUUUAACACAUUUUAGUAUCUGCUAGCAGGAUUUUGGUUUUUUUUUUUCUAUUUUCAAAUUAUAAAGCUGGUAAAGCAGGGUACUUCCUACAAGAUGCGAUUACAAUUGAAUGUUGUAUAUAGGUAAAGCAGUCUUUAUUAUUUGCUG
rnacentral:lncRNA from 1 species